rnacentral:rRNA from 1 species
UACGUAGGUGGCAAGCGUUUGUCCGGAUUUAUUGGGUUUAAAGGGUGCGUAGGCGGUCUUAUAAGUCAGUGCUGAAAUAUCCCGGCUUAACCGGGAGGGUGGCAUUGAUACUGUAGGACUUGAGUAAAGUUGAGGUUGGCGGAAUUGACGGUGUAGCGGUGAAAUGCUUAGAUAUCGUCAAGAACACCUAUAGCGAAGGCAGCUAACUAAACUUUAACUGACGCUGAGGCACGAAAGUGUGGGGAUCAAACAGG